rnacentral:rRNA from 1 species
UACGUAGGGUGCAAGCGUUAAUCGGAAUUACUGGGCGUAAAGCGUGCGCAGGCGGUUGUGCAAGACAGAUGUGAAAUCCCCGGGCUCAACCUGGGAAUUGCAUUUGUGACUGCACGGCUAGAGUGUGUCAGAGGGGGGUAGAAUUCCACGUGUAGCAGUGAAAUGCGUAGAGAUGUGGAGGAAUACCGAUGGCGAAGGCAGCCCCCUGGGAUAACACUGACGCUCAUGCACGAAAGCGUAGGGAGCAAACAGG